rnacentral:other from 2 species
AAAUUCCUGCGAUAUUGGUAAUGCAAGUAUAUAUUGACCCAACACUUAUUAAUGAGGGAAUCGGACUCUUUUUGUGGAAUGAAACUUUAAUAUUAUUUAAAGGACAGGAAGCAAAAAGGAGAUGCCCACCUGUUUAGGAACAGGUUCAACUAUUACUUGCUUUACGGUAGAGCAGGAAUUUU